rnacentral:lncRNA from 1 species
UUUUUUUUUUUUUUUUUUUUUUUGGUGGGGAGGGGGUUGUUAUGUUUGCGAUCUCUGUCUUGGUACCUAAGGAAGGAGGAAGAAGAGGAGGAGGAGGGUGUGUUAUUGAAUGGUGGCUAAAGCCUCCUCGGGACGGCGCUGAGGUGAAACACGCUGAACCCGAGUGAUGUAGCUCCGCUCCCGGUCGGACCCAGUGCCCUCAGCAGCCGACGGGAGACCCCGGCCGCCGGCUCCAGGUUAUACACACGAGGUGAACAGAAUGGCCCUGAUCCUGCCAGUCCCUUUUUGAGUACCUUUUUAAUGCUGAAAUGGGCAUACUAAUUGUGAACUGUGUGGUAAGAAGCUCCUUCUAAAAUAUUCACUAACUUAUUUACUGGAAUUUAACAGGCUCUGCUCUUCAAAGCUUUCCUUGCCUUUAAUCACGUGAACAAACCUUUCAAGUCAUGUUGUCAGCUCGAGAUCUGGCAGAGGAACAGCAGUGUGGAAGCAGCCCCUGCCAUUAGCCAAGAGGAAACACUAAGAAGUCAGCAUUAUUUAACAGAAAUGAACAAAUGGAAAGGUAUUUAUUUGCCAAACUGCAAGAGGAUGUCAGAAACGAUCACUGCUGGGAAUACUGAACACCAUUGGACCUAGUGCUGGUGCCUGCUGGAUACCAUUAGAAACAAUUCAAUAUUAAUUUUCUUUGUAAUGUACCUUUUGAUGAUCUGCUGGCCAGCUCUUAAUUGAAAUUGUGAACAUUGAUGCUAUGUAGUAAUUUUUUUUCUUAAUAAAAGUAUUUGAAA